AGUGAACGCUGGCGGUAGGCCUAACACAUGCAAGUCGAACGGCAGCACAGUAAGAGCUUGCUCUUACGGGUGGCGAGUGGCGGACGGGUGAGGCAUACAUCGGAAUCUACUUUUUCGUGGGGGAUAACGUAGGGAAACUUACGCUAAUACCGCAUACGACCUACGGGUGAAAGCAGGGGAUCUUCGGACCUUUCGCGAUUGAAUGAGCCGAUGUCGGAUUAGCUAGUUGGCGGGGUAAAGGCCCACCAAGGCGACGAUCCGUAGCUGGUCUGAGAGGAUGAUCAGCCACACUGGAACUGAGACACGGUCCAGACUCCUACGGGAGGCAGCAGUGGGGAAUAUUGGACAAUGGGCGCAAGCCUGAUCCAGCCAUACCGCGUGGGUGAAGAAGGCCUUCGGGUUGUAAAGCCCUUUUGUUGGGAAAGAAAAGCAGCAGGUGAAUACCCCGCUGUUCUGACGGUACCCAAAGAAUAAGCACCGGCUAACUUCGUG
rnacentral:rRNA from 1 species